rnacentral:rRNA from 1 species
AGCGAACGCUGGCGGCAGGCCUAACACAUGCAAGUCGAACGAACUCUUCGGAGUUAGUGGCGGACGGGUGAGUAACACGUGGGAACGUGCCUUUUGGUUCGGAAUAACUCAGGGAAACUUGUGCUAAUACCGAAUGUGCCCUUCGGGGGAAAGAUUUAUCGCCAUUAGAGCGGCCCGCGUCUGAUUAGCUAGUUGGUGAGGUAACGGCUCACCAAGGCGACGAUCAGUAGCUGGUCUGAGAGGAUGACCAGCCACACUGGGACUGAGACACGGCCCAGACUCCUACGGGAAGCAGCAGUGGGGAAUCUUGCGCAAAGGGCGAAAGCCUGACGCAGCCAUGCCGCGUGAAUGAUGAAGGUCUUAGGAUUGUAAAAUUCUUUCACCGGGGACGAUAAUGACGGUACCCGGAGAAGAAGCCCCGGCUAACUUCGUG